AUGAGAAAAACAGAGGCCCGAGGUUUUGCUUAUAGAAAUCUGGCAAAUAUUUGCCUUUUAAAAAUGGUAUUUGUUAAGCGCUUAUUAUAUGUCAGGAACCGUACUCAGCUCUGGGGUAGAUACAGGCUAAUUAGGUUGGACACAAUCCACGUCCCUCGUGGUGCUCACAGUCUUAAUCCCCAUUUUAAUCUCCAAGGUCACACAGAAGACAAAAGAUGGAGCGGGGAUUUGCCCGGCAGUCAAGGAUUUCACUAAUUUCCAGCUUAUAAGUGACACUUGCAUCGGUACGGAAGAUAUUCAUCGUCCUCGACGAACGGUUGA
rnacentral:lncRNA from 1 species